UCUCUGAUGAAAAUUGUUGUCUUGUGUUUGUACUACGCGUGUUUCUAGAUUAUUAAUACUCAGCAGCGGGUUUGCAUGUCGAACAUCAGCACAGCAGCGCCCUAUGUAAGUAAAAGAAAUUAUCAAUAGCUAAUUAUACCAUUGGCUGUAAAUUCUGAAGAUAAGCGAUAGUGCUUAUUACUUCUCAAACUCGAAGGUUACAAAUUGCAACUUCACCAUUUGAAAACCAGAAAUAGCAAAAAAGACUCUUGCAGAAAGAAUAUUAGCAAAUUUACCACUUUAAAUUUUGAAAAGUAAAGCAUUUACUUCCUUCGCUGAUGAACAGUGCAUAUUAAUUUGCAAGUAUCUUUUCUUUUUCUUUGAGGGGUCAUAUUACGUUUUUUUGUUUUUUAACUCUUUUGUUUUAAACCUUGAAAACUUCCACUAACCGUGCCUAACCACCAUUUGAAACUGCCUUUACAUAAUACUCACAAUUGUUUUUCGAAAAAUGCAAUUUGGCCUCAUGUGAUGUGGUAAAUGUGCAAAUUAUCUUUUUAUAAAAAAAAUUAGUAAUUUAUCCUCUUAAAUUAAGCAUUUUACCUCCUUAAACAGGGAGUAAAUUGCUUUAUUUUAAAAUAUACAGUAGGAUAAAUUAUUGUUUUUUUUUCUUGUUCCCGUAAGGAGUAAUUUGCUAGUUUGUAAUAUUAUAAGGGUAAAUUGCAUUAAACCCAUUGUUUUUACAUUCAAAUCCUGUGAAAGUGUUGCCCUCCAUCUACUACUAGCUGAGAAGAGUGGCGGUCCCAUAACCAUUUAGUUAACUACAAUGCUGAGAGCUGCACGGAUUCUUGCUUCAUCUUCUUCUUUCCGCACUGUUUACCUUUACCGUAGACGCAGAGUGGAUGAUCGCCAUGCAAAGUUUUCUUUAAUUUCAAGAGGACCGUCAGAAUCUUCAGAAGUACAUGGUUUUUCUUCUCGAGUUUGCUGCGGCUUUUGCGCUUCUCAAAUGGCGCAACGCUCAUUCUGAUUCUGCUUUAGCCCCAGCAGAAAAUUCUUCUUCUUUAUCAACAACUCCACUGCAUUUCAGUCAACUUUACUACAAGAAAUGGAUUCGCUUAACAGAUUUUCCUCUUUGUAUCCCCUUGGUCGUUGACAACUUGACAGGCCUGGGUCGGGUUCUGAUCUCCAUGUCCACAUUCUCGAUUGUCCCCAGAAAGCUUGAGACUGAUUCUGCCACCAUCUCUUGUGGCAAGAGCACUAUUUGGCUGCAGAGCCAGUUAACCAAAGGUGGAACAUUCGAGAGGCUGUUUAUGAUUUCUUAUCUUGAUGAAGAGAUCCUGAUAAUAAGAGAUACUGCUGGAGUACCUGAAGUUCUUAGAAGACUAGAUCCAGGACCAUCGCAGACGGUGUAACCAUGAACCAAGUAAGAAAGUUGAAGGCCUCUUUGAAGAAAUGCAAGUAAGCUCUUCUAGAGUGAGAUCACAACAAAAGCCGUCCAUGUUCUCUCUUAGAGCUGCCGCAACAUUGCAAAUAGACCGACAAACAAUGGUCGUUCGGUCAUCCAAAGAGUGGGUAAAUAUAACUUUCUUGUUUGGUGGAUACAUGUUGAGAGCAGCAAAGGAGAAGUUGUUGAUGCAGAUGACAACUAGUAAGGGUUGUCAUCAGAGUUGGUAUUGAAAUCUUCUCUUUUCACAUCUAGUUCACAUUUCUUUCUUGCAAUUAAGUACAAAAAAAAUCAGACAUUAUCGUUUCCGGGCAGCCAUUUCUUUUUCUUGUAGUAAAAUGUGAAGUAUGAAUCUGCCACUUGAAGGAAACGUGCUUUACUUGUUUUGACUUGAGAGCUGUUGGUAUAUAUUAUAG